rnacentral:rRNA from 1 species
UAUUGGACAAUGGGGGGAACCCUGAUCCAGCGACGCGGCGCGAGUGAAGAAGUAUUUCGGUAUGUAAAGCUCUAUCAGCAGGGAAGAAAGAAAUGACGGUACCUGACUAAGAAGCACCGGCUAACUACGUGCCAGCAGCCGCGGUAAUACGUAGGGGGCAAGCGUGAUCCGGAAUUACUGGGGGUAAAGGGAGCGUAGACGGUGAUGUAAGUCUUGAGUGAAAGGCGGGGGCCCAACCCCCGGACUGCUCUGGAAACUAUGUGACUGGAGUGCAGGAGAGGUGAGCGGAAUUCCUAGUGUAGCGGUGAAAUGCGUAGAUAUUAGGAGGAACACCAGUGGCGAAGGCGGCUCACUGGACUGUAACUGACGUUGAGGCUCGAAAGCGUGGGGAGCAAACAG